rnacentral:tRNA from 1 species
UCCUCAUAGUUCAGUAGGUAAAGAAUCUGCCUGCAGUGCAGGACACCCAGGUUCGAUUCCUGGGUCAGGAA